rnacentral:tRNA from 2 species
CGGGAUGUGGCGCAGCUUGGUAGCGCACCUGACUGGGGGUCAGGGGGUCGCAGGUUCAAAUCCUGUCAUCCCGACCG